rnacentral:rRNA from 1 species
UGCCAGACUCCUACGGGAGGCAGCAGUGGGGAAUAUUGGACAAUGGGGGGAACCCUGAUCCAGCGACGCCGCGUGAGUGAAGAAGUCUUUCGGUAUGUAAAGCUCUAUCAGCAGGGAAGAAGAAAUGACGGUACCUGACUAAGAAGCCCCGGCUAACUACGUGCCAGCAGCCGCGGUAAUACGUAGGGGGCAAGCGUUAUCCGGAUUUACUGGGUGUAAAGGGAGCGUAGACGGUGCAGCAAGUCUGGAGUGAAAGGCGGUGGCUCAACCCCCGGACUGCUCUGGAAACUGUAGAACUAGAGUGCAGGAGGGGUAAGUGGAAUUCCUAGUGUAGCGGUGAAAUGCGUAGAUAUUAGGAGGACCACCAGUGGCGAAGGCGGCUUACUGGACUGUAACUGCCGUUGAGGCUCGAAAGCGUGGGGAGCAACCAGGAUUAGAUACCCGCGUACC